GAUCUGGCUCAGGAUGAACGCUGGCGGCGUGCUUAACACAUGCAAGUCGAACGGGAUAUACUUUUAGCUUGCUAAGUUGUAUAUCUAGUGGCGGACGGGUGAGUAACGCGUGGGUAACCUGCCGUAUGCUGGGGGACAACAGUUGGAAACGACUGCUAAUACCGCAUAAGCGCACGAGAUCGCAUGAUCCUGUGUGAAAAACUCCGGUGGCAUACGAUGGACCCGCGUCUGAUUAGCCAGUUGGCAGGGUAACGGCCUACCAAAGCGACGAUCAGUAGCCGGCCUGAGAGGGUGAACGGCCACAUUGGGACUGAGACACGGCCCAGACUCCUACGGGAGGCAGCAGUGGGGAAUAUUGCACAAUGGGGGAAACCCUGAUGCCAGCGACGCCGCGUGAGUGAAGAAGUAUUUCGGUAUGUAAAGCUCUAUCAGCAGGAAAGAAAAUGACGGUACCUGACUAAGAAGCCCCGGCUAACUACGUGCCAGCAGCGGC
rnacentral:rRNA from 1 species